CCUGGUUGUCUUCAUUCACACUCAAAGAACAUGAAUUCACAGGAGCUGGUUAUGGAUGUGGCUUUGCUGCUUGUCAGGCUUACUGAGCCUUCCUUUACCACUGGAGCUGGUACUUCUACUUCUCUCAUUCCCCAGCAUGUAAAAGAACUUUGUUGUUUGGAACCCCACGCCUUAGCUGUGCUCGGUGCAGCUGCUCUCUCCUACAUGAUAAGGGCUGAUAGUGUCCAGAAAAAGCAAAUGUUUCACAUGGAUCCUUGAUGUUCCAAGCUGACAUAAAGCGACAUACACAGAGAAAUGUGACCAGAGCUGUUCUCUCUCACAUUUGCCAUCACAGAUCAGACUCUCUCCAUACCAGAAGAUUGAUGUUCUCUAUAAUAAUGUAAUAGUAAUAAUUAUUAUA
rnacentral:lncRNA from 1 species